CCCUGCGGACGGAUUGAACGGCAUCGGGUAGCGAGAACCCGGCAGGG
rnacentral:sRNA from 1 species